rnacentral:rRNA from 1 species
AGCGAACGCUGGCGGCAGGCCUAACACAUGCGAGUCGAACGAACCCUUCGGGGUUAGUGGCGGACGGGUGAGGAACACGUGGGAACGUGCCUUUAGGUUCGGAAUAACUCAGGGAAACGUGUGCUAAUACCGAAUGUGCCCUUCGGGGGAAAGAUUGAUCGCCUUUAGAGCGGCCCGCGCCUGAUUAGCUAGGUGGUUGAGGUAAUGGCUCACCAAGGCGACGAUCAGUAGCUGGUCUGAGAGGCUGGUCAGCCACAUUGGGACUGAGACACGGCCCAAACUACUACGGGAGGCAGCAGUGGGGAAUCUUGCGAAAUGGGGGAAAGCCUGACGCAGCCAUGCCGCGUGAAUGAUGACGGUCUUAGGAUUGUAAAAUUCUUUCACCGGGGACGAUAAUGACGGUACCCGGAGAAGAAGCCCCGGCUAACUUCGUG